rnacentral:misc_RNA from 1 species
AUUUGAGAAGGUCUAUCAGAUGAUGUUUGAUGAGUUAGAAGCAGGGGGUAAAAUAUAUCUUGUUUAUCCGGUAAUUGAACAAUCCGAGCAAUUGCCUCAGCUUCGUGCAGCUUCGGCGGAUCUUGAGACUAUAUCUCAAAAGUUUUCAGGGUACAACUGCGGUCUCUUACAUGGAAAAAUGAAGGGCGAUGAGAAAAGUGAAGCACUAAACCUGUUUAGAUCUGGAGAAACCAAUAUCUUGCUUUCAACGCAAGUUAUUGAGAUUGGGGUUGACAUUCCAGAUGCAUCUAUGAUGGUUGUUAUGAAUGCUGA